rnacentral:rRNA from 1 species
GACGAACGCUGGCGGCGUGCCUAACACAUGCAAGUCGAACGAGGUCCAAGGGAGCUUGCUCCCUGAAGACCUAGUGGCGAACGGGUGAGUAACACGUGAGGAACCUGCCCCGAACUCUGGGAUAACUCGAGGAAACUCGAGCUAAUACCGGAUGCCCUCAUCUGAUCGCAUGGUCGGAUGAGGAAAGUUUUUCGGUUCGGGAGGGUCUCGCGGCCUAUCAGCUAGUUGGUGAGGUAACGGCUCACCAAGGCUACGACGGGUAGCUGGUUUGAGAGAACGAUCAGCCACACUGGGACUGAGACACGGCCCAGACUCCUACGGGAGGCAGCAGUGGGGAAUCUUGCGCAAUGGGCGAAAGCCUGACGCAGCAACGCCGCGUGCGGGAUGAAGGCCUUCGGGUUGUAAACCGCUUUCAGCAGGGACGAAAAUGACGGUACCUGCAGAAGAAGCUCCGGCUAACUACGUGCCAGCAGCCGCGGUAAAAC